rnacentral:rRNA from 1 species
UUUAGAGGAAGUAAAAGUCGUAACAAGGUCUCCGUAGGUGAACCUGCGGAGGGAUCAUUACACAAAUAUGAAGGCGGGCUGGAACCUCUCGGGGUUACAGCCUUGCUGAAUUAUUCACCCUUGUCUUUUGCGUACUUCUUGUUUCCUUGGUGGGUUCGCCCACCACUAGGACAAACAUAAACCUUUUGUAAUUGCAAUCAGCGUCAGUAACAAAUUAAUAAUUACAACUUUCAACAACGGAUCUCUUGGUUCUGGCAUCGAUGAAGAACGCAGCGAAAUGCGAUAAGUAGUGUGAAUUGCAGAAUUCAGUGAAUCAUCGAAUCUUUGAACGCACAUUGCGCCCUUUGGUAUUCCAAAGGGCAUGCCUGUUCGAGCGUCAUUUGUACCCUCAAGCUUUGCUUGGUGUUGGGCGUCUUGUCUCUAGCUUUGCUGGAGACUCGCCUUAAAGUAAUUGGCAGCCGGCCUACUGGUUUCGGAGCGCAGCACAAGUCGCACUCUCUAUCAGCAAAGGUCUAGCAUCCAUUAAGCCUUUUUUUCAACUUUUGACCUCGGAUCAGGUAGGGAUACCCGCUGAACUUAAGCAUAUCAAUAAGCGGAGGA